UACGUAGGGGGCUAGCGUUGUCCGGAUUUAUUGGGCGUAAAGAGCGUGUAGGCGGCCAAGUAGGUCCGGUGUGAAAACUCGAGGCUUAACCUCGAGAUGUCAUCGGAAACCAUUUGGCUAGAGUCCGGAAGAGGAAAGUGGAAUUCCUGGUGUAGCGGUGAAAUGCGCAGAUAUCAGGAGGAACACCCAUGGCGAAGGCAGCAAACUGGUCCGUAUCUGACGCUGAGGCGCGAAAGCGUGGGGAGCGAACAGG
rnacentral:rRNA from 1 species